ensembl:lncRNA
GGAGAAUACAUUCUUCAGUUUGGGAAGUACAAAGGGAAGUCCUUCCCGUGGCUAGUGGAGAAUGAUAUUGGCUACAUUUUGUACUUGUCCAGUAAGGUUGAUGAGGAAGAACAGGCUGACCCAGAUGGUCGUUGCAAGGAGAGCCUCCUUUCCUUUCUUGAAUAUUCAAGAUGCUUUAAGGAAAUUGAAGAUCUCCGACGAUCCCUUUCAGAGAGGCCAGACUCAGUGCCAGUUUUGUCAGAUGAUGACAAUGUUGUUGGAUUUGGGGCAUGAGCACAGGACACCUGGAGGAUGAUCUGGAAUACCAGGGCUUAUGGGUAUGCUGCCUUUAUAAUGGGGAAGAGCUAUGUUCCUGGAAGUAAAAUGUACUGCUUGCAGCAAUAUAUUUUAAAGCAUAAAAAACAGGUGACCAUUGCUACACCUUCACCCUCACAAUCAACUCCCUCCACAACUUCCACUUCACACCUUUUCUCUGAUUAUCCAUUAAUGGAGGAGGAUGAGAUGAUGCUGAGUCUGUCUCCACCCAAUUAUCUAGUUCAACCUGUUUAUGGCAUAUUAAAUAGCACAUACUAGAGUUAUACUAAACAAAUUCUAUUGUAUAUUUCAGAGUCAUCUGCAGCCACUCGGUGUCCAGUCUUCUCCACAGCACGAGGUUGAACAUAUCACUGUUGAGGAAGAUGGAUUCCCUUUUGACUAUGGUUCCUCUCAAGUCUUCUUCAUAUGGUCUCAGGAGUGUUCCUUGGCACCAUCUAUCUCGCUUGCUCAUUAAGGAUGCAAAUUUACAUCUGGAUUUCUGUAAAGCUACUUUUAUUACAAUGUCUAUUGUUAAAAGAGCUAUAAAAAUAAAACUGCAGUUUUGAAUCGAAAUUCUCGUCUUUAAUCU